GCUUCUAAGGAUACAGCUCAUCCGUUGGUCUAGGAACCAAAACUCUGGUGCAAAUCCAAGUAGCAGCU
rnacentral:tRNA from 1 species